rnacentral:rRNA from 1 species
CAGCCGUAAACUAUGCGCGUUAGGUGUACUGGUGACCACGAGUCACCGGGGUGCCGAAGGGAAACCGUGAAACGUGCCGCCCGGGAAGUACGGUCGCAAGGCUGAAACUUAAAGGAAUUGGCGGGGGGAGGCACCACAACGGGUGGAGCCUGCGGUUUAAUUGGAUUCAACGCCGGACAUCUCACCGGAUAAGACAGCUGAAUGAUUGUCAAUCUGAAGGUUUUACAUGACUAGCUGAGAGGAGGUGCAUGGCGUCAGUGACU